AGUAAUGUCUGGGAAACUGCCUGAUGGAGGGGGAUAACUACUGGAAACGGUAGCUAAUACCGCACAACGUCGCAAGACCAAAGUGGGGGACCUUCGGGCCUCAUGCCAUCAGAUGUGCCCAGAUGGGAUUAGCUAGUAGGUGGGGUAACGGCUCACCUAGGCGACGAUCCCUAGCUGGUCUGAGAGGAUGACCAGCCACACUGGAACUGAGACACGGUCCAG
rnacentral:rRNA from 1 species